CCAAUAAACCAGCAGUCACUGGGCUGAAUUAUCAUCCUAAGAGUGAAGAUCUGCUUGUGGCAGCUGCAGUGGACGGCACUAUCAACAUAUAUGACAUUGUUUCAGGAUUAAAUAUCUGCUCGUUAAUAGAACAAGGCAAUGAAAUCAACGCUUUGGAUUUUUGCAUGGACGGCAGUGUUUACGCCACAGCUGGGAAGGACAGAAACAUACGCUUGUAUGACAGUCACAAAAAUGAGGUUUUGAAUACCUUUGAAGCCCCUAAUCCACUGACGCAGAGUGAAAUAUCACCGUUAAGUGGCCACAGUCGUAGAAUCUUUGCAUUGAAGUUUCACCCCUCAGAAUACCAUAUUUUCCUAACUGGUGGUUGGGAUG